rnacentral:rRNA from 1 species
CGUAACAAGGUUUCCGUAGGUGAACCUGCGGAAGGAUCAUUAUCGAGUUUUGACCGGGUUGUAGCUGGCCUUCCGAGGCAUGUGCACGCCCUGCUCAUCCACUCUACACCUGUGCACUUACUGUGGGCUUCAGAUUGCGAGGCACGCUCUUUACCGGGCUUGCGGAGCAUAUCUGUGCCUGCGUUUAUCACAAACUCUAUAAAGUAACAGAAUGUGUAUUGUGAUGUAACACAUCUAUAUACAACUUUCAGCAACGGAUCUCUUGGCUCUCGCAUCGAUGAAGAACGCAGCGAAAUGCGAUAAGUAAUGUGAAUUGCAGAAUUCAGUGAAUCAUCGAAUCUUUGAACGCACCUUGCGCUCCUUGGUAUUCCGAGGAGCAUGCCUGUUUGAGUGUCAUGAAAUCUUCAACCUACAAGCUUUUGUGGUUUGUAGGCUUGGACUUGGAGGCUUGUCGGCCGUUAUCGGUCGGCUCCUCUUAAAUGCAUUAGCUUGGUUCCUUGCGGAUCGGCUCUCGGUGUGAUAAUGUCUACGCCGCGACCGUGAAGCGUUUGGCGAGCUUCUAACCGUCUUAUAAGACAGCUUUAUGACCUCUGACCUCAAAUCAGGUAGGACUACCCGCUGAACUUAAGCAUAUCAAUAA